rnacentral:piRNA from 1 species
UGAAGGAUCGAAGGAUGACUGUGGUGGGA